rnacentral:rRNA from 1 species
CUGAAAGCAUCUAAGCACGAAACUUGCCCCCGAGAUGAGUUCUCCCUGAGACUUUAAGUCUCCUGAAGGAACGUUGAAGACGACGACGUUGAUAGGCCGGGUGUGUAAGCGCAGCGAUGCGUUGAGCUAACCGGUACUAAUGAACCGUGAGGCUUAACCUUAC